AGAGUUUGAUCCUGGCUCAGGACGAACGCUGGCGGCGUGCUUAACACAUGCAAGUCGAACGGAAAGGCCCUUCGGGGUACUCGAGUGGCGAACGGGUGAGUAACACGUGGGUGAUCUGCCCUGCACUUUGGGAUAAGCCUGGGGAACUGGGUCUAAUACCGAAUAUGACCAUGCGCCUCCUGGUGUGUGGUGGAAAGCUUUUGCGGUGUGGGAUGGGCCCGCGGCCUAUCAGCUUGUUGGUGGGGUAAUGGCCUACCAAGGCGACGACGGGUAGCCGGCCUGAGAGGGUGACCGGCCACACUGGGACUGAGAUACGGCCCAGACUCCUACGGGAGGCAGCAGUGGGGAAUAUUGCACAAUGGGCGCAAGCCUGAUGCAGCGACGCCGCGUGAGGGAUGACGGCCUUCGGGUUGUAAACCUCUUUCAGCACAGACGAAGCGCAAGUGACGGUAUGUGCAGAAGAAGGACCGGCCAACUACGUGCCAGCAGCCGCGGUAAUACGUAGGGUCCGAGCGUUGUCCGGAAUUACUGGGCGUAAAGAGCUCGUAGGUGGUUUGUCGCGUUGUUCGUGAAAACUCACAGCUUAACUGUGGGCGUGCGGGCGAUACGGGCAGACUUGAGUACUGCAGGGGAGACUGGAAUUCCUGGUGUAGCGGUGGAAUGCGCAGAUAUCAGGAGGAACACCGGUGGCGAAGGCGGGUCUCUGGGCAGUGACUGACGCUGAGGAGCGAAAGCGUGGGGAGCGAACAGGAUUAGAUACCCCGGUAGUCC
rnacentral:rRNA from 1 species